CGUUGAAAGGUUUGUAGGCGGAAAUAGCUGAAGCAAAAACCGGCCCCGCCGCCUCCCUUUGUAGAGACCUCUGCCGCCGACGCCAAGCGGCUAGCCGGCAAACCUGCUUCUCAUCCCUCCAUCCCCCAAUGCCGCCGGCGAACCUCACCCCGACCAAAUGGCCCAAGAACCUCACCGCCGAACACCUCCACCGCCUUGUCCGCGCCGAGCGUGACCCCCGCCGCGCGCUCGCCCUCUUCGACGCGGCCACCGCCGCGCCCGUCUCCACUUCCGCGCCCACACAAAUCCUCCCCUCCCCGGACACCGUCUCCCUCCUCACCUCCCGCCUCGCCUCCGCCGGCCUCCUCCCCCUCGCCACCUCCCUCCUCUCCCGCUCGCGCGCGCUCUUCCCCUCCAACGCCGACCUCGAGCCCCCCUUCCUCACCCUUCUCCGCGCCUUCUCCCGCACCCGCCGCCCCCUCGACGCCCUCCAACUCUUCCGCUCCGCCCCCUCCGCCCUCUCUCUCCCCCACUCCGCCCGCUCCUACACCGCCGUCCUUGCCGGCCUCGUCGCGCACUCCCAUCUCCCCCUCGCCCACUCCCUCCUCGCCGACAUGCGCGCCGCCGGCUUCGGCCCCACCAUCGCCACCUACAACGUCCUCCUCAAGGCCCACUGCUCUGAUGCCGACGCUCCUAUCGACGACGCGGUCCGCCUUUUCCGCAACAUCCCCAAACCUGACGCCUGCUCCUACAACACCCUCAUCGACGGGCUCUGCCGCCGCAGCCGCAGGGCCGAGGCCCAGGAGCUGUUUUCCGAGAUGGUAGAAAAUGGCGUUGCGCCUACAGUGGUUACUUACACGACUAUCAUCAAUUGGCUCGCACGGGAGGGCUGCUUGGAUGAUGCACUGGAGAUGUUUGACGAAAUGGGGAGGAGAGGUAUUGCACCUAAUGUUGUCACCUAUUGUUCUCUGAUUGAUGGUUUGUCCAAGGGUGGGCGUGCAGCAUCAGCACUGGACUUGCUGGAGAGGUUGGCCAAGGAGGUGAAGCCGCCAAAUACAAUCAUAUAUAGUUCUGUCAUUAAUGGCCUCUGUAAGGAGGGCCUGCUGAGGGAGGCAAUGGAGGUUUUGGACCGGAUGCGUCUCCAGGGGAGGAAGCCUGAUGCUGGAUUGUUUGGGAAGCUCAUUGUUGGGCUGUGUGAUGCAGGAAGGGCUGUGGAGGCUGCAAAUUACCUGGAUGAGAUGGUUCUUGCUGGCGUUCAACCGAACCGGGUGACUUGGAGCCUUCAUGUCAGGAUAAACGUUGCAGUGGUGACAGCAUUAUGUGUUAAGGGUGAAGUUGGGAGGGCUUUCCAGGUGUACCAGAGCAUGAGGACUCGUGGCAUUUCUACCGAGCCAAGCACCUUCCAUCUCCUGGUUGAGUUCUUCUGCAAAAAGAACCAUUUGGAGAAAGCAGCUCGUGUUGUGCUUGACAUGUUGUCAGAGAGGUGCAUCCCUGAGAGGGAAACAUGGGAUGUUAUUGUCAGUGGGUAUUGGAGUAAGAAGAAAGUCAGACAAGAAGCUGAGCAAAUAUGGGACCAAUUAGCAGUUAUCUGAUUGAAAAUAAAAACAAAUGUGGUGCUACACUGUGCUGGUCGGACCCUUCCCCGGACUCUGCACAAGUGGGAGCUACAUGCACCAGGCUGCCCCCCUGCUACACUGUGCUGGUACAUGUUCUGCCUAAGACUUAUCAAGCAAAAAUUGUGAACCGACACACUCGUUCCAUCAUGCGGUUGCACAAGUGAGAGAGAGUUCUGCCACCAAAACCCUUAAACUCCAGUGCUUCCAUGUCCAGGAUAUGCGAAGUACUAAUAUUUAUUGUAUGAAUAAUUUUUGAAGUGACAAGCAUGCGGGCAGUGUUCAGGUUAUUGCACGACGACUUAAAAGCUGUGUGGUAUGACUUCAAGAAUGCAGUCUGAUAUGAUUUUUAAAGUCUUCUUUUCUAGACAUGUUAAUUUUGGAAAAACUAGCAAAUUACAAUACAAAACUUAACUACAUAUAUGUAUGAAGAUUCAAGGCAAAAACAAGCUAUCAACUCCUGGUAUAUUGCUUCUUUCACAAUUAAUGAAGACUUUUUUCCGUGCCUGCCUAGUGUUUGAUUCCAUCCAUGUAUCGACUUUCCCUCCUAUGCUCUGAGUUCGAGUAUCAAUAAGAAUUCGAGUUCAUAUUGUUCCUAUGUUAUGGUAUGAAUAUACAUGAUGGAUGAGAUUCCGUGGAUAGAGAGCCAAUUCCAGUAGACUUAUGGAACGUUCCUGUUCACGUGCAUCCAGUAGGAAUUGAACCCUCAAAUUUACCAAUUAUGAGUUCGGCGCUUUAACCAUUCAACCAAAAGUCUUAGUUGUAUCAUAUGAAAGAUUUAAAAAAUUGUGGUAUGUGCCAAAGACGUAUCCAAUAUAUUGUCCUCCCAGGUGCCAGCACUGUUCAUUUAUGAAUACACAAAACAUGUUCAUGUCGAAGGCCACCAUAGGUACUCUUAUAAAUAUUAUUUUAGAGAAAUAGUGCUGUAUAUUUCUCUCUAUCCCGCUUAAGGGGUUUUCGACUCUGUGUUUGAU